rnacentral:rRNA from 2 species
UGGGGGAUAUUGCACAAUGGGCGAAAGCCUGAUGCAGCGACGCCGCGUGGGGGAUGAAGGCUUUCGGGUUGUAAACCUCUUUCGCUAUCGAACAAGGCCCGCUUAGGGUGGGUUGAGGGUAGGUGGAGAAGAAGCGCCGGCUAACUACGUGCCAGCAGCCGCGGUAAUACGUAGGGCGCGAGCGUUGUCCGGAAUUAUUGGGCGUAAAGGGCUUGUAGGCGGCUUGUUGCGCCUGCUGUGAAAACGCGGGGCUUAACUUCGCGCGUGCAGUGGGUACGGGCAGGCUUGAGUGUGGUAGGGGUGACUGGGAUUCCAGGUGUAGCGGUGGAAUGCGCAGAUAUCUGGAGGAACACCGAUGGCGAAGGCAGGUCACUGGGCCAUUACUGACGCUGAGGAGCGAAAGCAUGGGUAGCGAACAGG